GUCUCCAUAGUUUAGUGGUUAUGACGUCUGACUGUUAAUACACGAGUAGUUCUACCUAGUAGUCGCUCAACAAAGUGUAUACAGACUAUCAGAAGGUCGGCAGUUCGAUCCUGCCUGGGGACG
rnacentral:tRNA from 1 species